GUAAAUUUCCAAGUGACCUCCAGGGCUCCCAAAUUGGUUUCUGUGUAAAUGAGAGACAAACAAAAUUCUCAAUGUCAUCGUUUCUAUUCUGCUGUCGGCAGGUUUGGUCCAAAAAACAAACAUCAGUUUAUCAUCAAAAGGAUUGGAAACACGCAGUUCUAAAUCUAUUGUGUAAAGAUGCAGCAAAAUUCAGGAAGUGGAUCCUAACCCUCAGGGUUGGAUCCCACAAAAUGUAAGAGAAAUGGAGAGAAUACAGUGAGCUGAUCAUUUCAUUCUCAUUUAGAAUGUAGAUGUCUGUCACAAUCCAAAUUCUUAGUAAUGAGUUCAACUGCCAAGGUUUUAAUGUCACACUUCACUUGCCACUGAGGAAUUGGAUCAGGAGACAGACAGAUAUUGACCACAUGAGCAAGUGCCCUGUCCACCUUCAGAUAAAUUUUGAAUAAGGAAGAGAGCAAAGGAAAAUGCAGGGAGAACAAGGCAAUUGAGUCUCAGAGAAGUUAAUGAACUCUGCAAGGAUACGGAGAUUCCGAAAGAAGAUCCAGAAUGCAAAACCAAUCUAUUUGAACCCAGACCUAGGCUACUGGUCGCUGUGCCCUUAAAGUCAAUAUGCCUCCAGUCCCUACAAGUGACCCCGCUUGACCCUCCCAUCUGAAGACUGACCCCUGCCAUGGAUGUGGUAUUAAUCCUGUCCUUCAUCGAACAGAAUUAUUUAAGGAGCUUUAGUUUUCUAACCCCUUGACUCAACAUCAAGGUAUGAAUAACAAUAACCACGUAUCAAGGACUUACAUGUGCCAGGCAUGGUGUUAAGUGCUUUACGUGUGUUAACUCAAUCCUCACCCUGACAUUAUGAGGUAGAUGCCCUGAUAAUACUCAUCUUACAGAUGAAGAAACGGAAUCAUAGAGAAACUAAAUAACAUGGCCUACGUCACCCUGCUAACCAGCAGAAUCCAGAUUUUCACUGGGUUCUGCUUGACCACAGAGUCCAUAUUCCUGGUCCCUCACUACUCAACAUCUCCACAGGCAUGCCCCGGAGCUUCCUCACUGCAAGAUGGAGUUUUUCCUUCUUACCACAAAUCCUCCUCUUCUCCUGUUCUUUCCCAGCUAAAAUCACGUCCUCACACUCAUCAUUUAAAUUGAUAUCUCUAGAUCAUCUUAACACCCAUCACCCACAGCAAUUAAUUGGUCCCUAUUAUGUCCUUUGGAAUGUUCCCCUCAGUGGCUCUCAAAUCUUUCAGAUCCUCGUGUGUUUCUUUUCAAGAUUAGUUUACUAACUCCUGUAAAGAGUCUCCCUGUCUUUGGGGUGCCUGGGUGCCUCAGUCAGUGAAGCGUCCGACUUCAGCUCAGGUUAUGAUCUU